CAAAAAUAACAAAGAACCUUCACUCUCUCGGCAGCACCUCUCUCUCUCCCUCAACAGAGACCCAAAACCAAAACCUCACUCUCCCAAACCUUCACUCUUCGCUGGCGCCUCACCUUAAAACCAAAACCAGGCUCUCUAAUCGAUUGAUGCGCUAAACCCAAAAUGAGUCGUCCUCUGAUGUCCCUUCCAAAUCCCCAUUACACUGCUGAAUUCGAAAUCCCCAAUUUUCUAGGGUUUCAAUUUUUAAUCUCAAGAGGAAAAUGUUGAAGCGGAAGGCAUCAUGGAAGAGAAUGUUCCCCCUCACCAUCUCCGGUACCUGCCUCUCAAGGCCAUCACCGCCAAUAAUCCAAGUGUCGUCAUCUUCUUCAUCGAUCUGAGGGCUUGUCCAACAACCGCUACUAUGGCGUCAACGAGUACAUCGCCAUGUUCCAGCCCCAUGACCGAAUCAUGGGCUCCCCUCCGUUGGUCACUUGACCUAUGGUUACUACACCUCCGGCGAGAAGAAGAUCUCAGCCAACUCUCUCUCUCUCUUCCCCUAGUCUGAAAUCCAAGCUAGCUAUCACCGUCAGCCAGCCCUCUUCUGCUUCGCUUCAAUUCAAUUAUCUCAGAAUUCUGGAUCACUGGAACUUCAUGUGACACUGUAGCUUGCAGACAUGCUUGGCAACUGACUCUAUUUUAUCACUGGUCAAAAUGAGAGUAAGUCCUUCUUUCUCUAUUGAUUGGGUUUGUCAAAUUUAUCAAUAAAGCAUGCAAAUUUUAACAACAAGUACCGUUUGUUAAACUGGGUUUCUAAAUAAGGGAUAAGAUUAUCGCCUUCCUGAGUACCCUUUCAUAACAAUCAUAAAGUUUUAAACUUAUUCUCUCUCCUAACAUUUGGUUACUGCUGCUUUCAGUUUCUUUUCCUUUAUGUACCCGUAAAGUGUUCUUAAUGUCUCGGUUAGAAUACACUAUAUAAAAUUUCAAUUAUCAAAACUCAUUUAUUUACAAUUCAUGGUCGAUCAGCUCUUUCCUUUACAUUAUAAUCAGAUUGAUUUCAUUUUUAUUGCACAUAAAAUUCAUGCAAGGUUCAAUACCAUGUUGAUACUUCCAUUGAAUACUCUAUUUAAGUGUUUACAUUCCACAAUUUAGUUUAUUCUCUUCAGUAUUAUGAAUCCUUGCUUUACUUACUGCUAUUUACUUUGUAUAAUGUAUGUAAUUUCGUGCCUUGCACUUUUUGGUUGAUAUUAAUGUAAAUAUUUGUGAUUUCUUGCGGAAAGUUACAUACUCAUCUAUAGUUUUUCACUUUGGAAUCAAUUUGUAUAGUAUUUCCACUCUUUGAAUAAUGUUAUGACAAUCAUUAUUAAUUGAUAGCAGAUAGUGAUCAUGGACUAAUUGCUUCUAUGCUAAUAACUCUAUUUUUGGCAACUAAUUUAUGUAGAAAAAUUGAACUACAGAAAGACUUGCAAUACAUAAGUUUGAUGAUUAUUCAAUGUCUUUGUACUUGGAUCAAGUGAAGCAUGCAAAAAUCCAAAAAGCAAAUUACUUAGUUAACUUAGCACAACAAUAGAGAAUGAGUCAUAGUAGCUAAAAUUGUUUUCUUUUUCGAUAUAAUUAGGAUAGACAUGUCUGGUAAUUUAUUACUUUUUUUUUCACAACUGCCAUAUAACUUUUGGUUUUUGGUUUCUCUUCGUUUUACUAAGACCUAUCUUCAUGUAUUUAUGUGCAUCUACUUCAUAUAAGUAAUUUGGCUGACGGAGUCUUCAAUAUCAGUUGCUUUCUUAGUUGAUUAACAUAAACAUUCUGCUAUGCAUGUUUGGUGCUAUCUUGAGUGAUAUUCUCCAUGACGAGGAAGCCUUGUCUACCGCAACAUGUGGUGCUUGUUUGGGCUAUCAAAAUGCCAAAUGAGCUCUCUUCUUUCAAUAGUUGACAUAGGGUCUAUGGAUUUUUCUGAUGGAUUGAAUAUUGAAUGUUUAAAUAUUUAGUCACGUUACUUCCAGGCUGAGAAAUAAUGCCCAUUUAGCUUCCUUUAUAUGUCAUAAGAAUUCCUGCUUUCUUUAGUGUGUUUCUAAGCAAGUGGUUUCUUGGAUCUUCCUGCAUUGCAAGUUCAUGUUGAUGAAAUGUCACAUGCAGCAGAAAGUAAACCCAGUUUGAGUUGUAUUCAAUGCGCUUAUUAUUGCGUGUGAUCAAUCAGCAGCAGUUGACCGUGCUUUUGAUGUCUUAGAAGAAAUGAAGGCAGAUACGACACAGCCUAUAGAACCUGAUCACACAACUGGGAUAAUAAAGAUGAGCUCGACAAGAUCACACAACUGGCCUAUAGCACUUUAUCUUCUUCUUCAACUAAUCUGGGCUCUGUGGAGGGAAAAUACCUGAUUUUAUUGGAAACUGGACCAAACUUGACAGACUAUCAGUAUUCCCAUCAGUAUGUUCAUCUUCCAUCUUUACACUCCUUUUGGAAAAGCUACUAAAAGUAUAAAUACAGCAACCGACUUCUUGAGUUGCAGAACUCUCUUCAGAAUCUGCUAUUUAUAUUGCAAUGGCAACAAGCAAGGGAUGUGAAGGAGACCUAGGUGUAGUAAAGAAUGUAGAGACGGUGAUGCAGCGAGAAAGCACCUACAGAAGCUUCCAAAGCUAGACUCCAAUGAGGCCAUGAGAGCAGCAAAUUAGCUAGACUCCUUAAGUAAAUUUCUCGUUGUAUAUUGCUAGGAGAGUAGUAUUAGAUGUACUCCAUUUGUAGAUGAAAGAUUACCUUUGCACAAUCUAUUUUGGAGCAUGAUUUGGAUCAUAACAUUUUUUUCUAUAUAUUGAUCGGCUACUGUUAAUUUGAUCAUUUUAUUUAA